rfam:Brevibacillus brevis NBRC 100599 DNA, complete genome.
AAAAAAAUACCCCAUCGCCAAAUGACGAGGGGCGACCGUUCAACUCCUCCCGGUGAAGGGAGCGAUGGCACGAAAUGCUCCUAUCAGACACGUCGUGCGCCUAAGUGAACAGCCUUUCAAUUAUGGGAGAGGAGAAACCGGAGGAAGAGCUUAUGGGGAAACGUAAGUCUUCUCCGCGG